rnacentral:tRNA from 1 species
CGCGGCCGGUGCCCGAGCCCGUCGGCGGCCCCGGCCCGCGUCCGGGCGGCCCGGGUCCGAUGCCGGGCGGCCGCGGC